AAACCGUUCAGGGGUAAACCUAAGAAACCCAAAAGAUCGAACGGGGAGAUUCAUCGUCAGCGGCGCUGGCUUCGCGUCGGUGGGCGAUGUUCCGCGGAGCCCUUGCGGGUCCUACCGCGGACACGCUACCGUGCGUCGAUGUCCGGCGCUCGUCGUCGUGCACUUCUCCCCUAGUAGGACGUCGCGACCCGCUGGGUGUCGGUCUACGGCCCGGGUGCGGUGCCUGUCGCGUCGCCGGUAAAACGGCACGCGGCAAACCCCCGGUCGCCCGGCCGGCUGCCCGGCGGUACACGCAUGGUAUCAGGCCGCACUCUUCUCACGUGUGCGUCGAGACCGGCGCAAGCGCGCGCCACGGUACUCGGAGGUUACGGACCUAGCGCCGUCCCCGGUCCUGGCCCGCUGUUGGCUCGCUCGGAACUCCUUCGACAGGCCUGCAAAGUAUAUACCGGUCGGCGACGCUACUGCUUUGGGUACUCUUAGGA
rnacentral:rRNA from 1 species